GUGGAAUUAGUUUAGAGGUAGAAUUUCUGAUUGCCAUUCAGAAGGCAGGGUUUCGAUUACCCUAUUCCACACCA
rnacentral:tRNA from 1 species